rnacentral:rRNA from 1 species
GAUGAACGCUGGCGGCGUGCCUAAUACAUGCAAGUCGAGCGAACAGAUGAGGAGCUUGCUCCUCUGACGUUAGCGGCGGACGGGUGAGUAACACGUGGAUAACCUACCUAUAAGACUGGGAUAACUUCGGGAAACCGGAGCUAAUACCGGAUAAUAUAUUGAACCGCAUGGUUCAAUAGUGAAAGACGGUUUUGCUGUCACUUAUAGAUGGAUCCGCGCCGCAUUAGCUAGUUGGUAAGGUAACGGCUUACCAAGGCGACGAUGCGUAGCCGACCUGAGAGGGUGAUCGGCCACACUGGAACUGAGACACGGUCCAGACUCCUACGGGAGGCAGCAGUAGGGAAUCUUCCGCAAUGGGCGAAAGCCUGACGGAGCAACGCCGCGUGAGUGAUGAAGGUCUUCGGAUCGUAAAACUCUGUUAUUAGGGAAGAACAAAUGUGUAAGUAACUAUGCACGUCUUGACGGGACCUAAUCAGAAAGCCACGGCUAACUACGUGC